UACGAAGGGGGCUAGCGUUGCUCGGAAUCACUGGGCGUAAAGCGCACGUAGGCGGACUCUUAAGUCGGUGGUGAAAUCCUGGAGCUCAACUCCAGAACUGCCUUCGAUACUGAGAGUCUUUGAGUCCGGGAGAGGUGAGUGGAACUGCGAGUGUAGAGGUGAAAUUCGUAGAUAUUCGCAAAGAACACCAGUGGCGAAGGCGGCUCACUG
rnacentral:rRNA from 1 species